CCUACGGGAGGCAGCAGUGAGGAAUAUUGGUCAAUGGCCGAGAGGCUGAACCAGCCAAGUCGCGUGAGGGAAGACGGCCCUACGGGUUGUAAACCUCUUUUGUCGGGGAGCAAAGCGAGUCACGGGUGACGCAUUGAGAGUACCCGAAGAAAAAGCAUCGGCUAACUCCGUGCCAGCAGCCGCGGUAAUACGGAGGAUGCGAGCGUUAUCCGGAUUUAUUGGGGUGAAAGGGGGCGUAGAUGGGUUGUUAAGUCAGUUGGGAAAGUUUGCGGCUCAACCGUAAAAUUGCAAUUGAUACUGGCAGUCUUGAGUACAGUUGAGGUAGGCGGAAUUCGUGGUGUAGCGGUGAAAUGCUUAGAUAUCACGAAGAACUCCGAUUGCGAAGGCAGCUUACUAAACUGCCACUGACAUUGAUGCUCGAAAGUGUGGGUAUCAAACAGGAUUAGAUACCCCUGUAGUC
rnacentral:rRNA from 1 species